AGAGACUCCAAUCCCAAGGUCGUCAUUUUAUAAACAUGCUCAGGAAAGAGCAGAAUCACAAAUCACUGAUUGUCAAGCAGAGUUAAACAAAGUGCAGGAGCCGCACUAUUUUAAACGAGGAACACAAUUGAGAGACCAUCAGACUGGACGUUUGGAGUAAAUAAAAAUCCAUUUCUGUCUCCUGGAAUUUUCAAAUAGGAAGAUGGAGGGAGGAAGGGGAGGACAACAUUUCAGAACAUGAUACAGGCUUUUACAAAAAAAAUAUCAAGAGUGGACAGUUCUUUGUGUUGAGUACAACAGACAAGAAGUGCUUCCCAACGGCAUCGGAGUGUCCAUUGCAAUUCACAUCAAUCAACGUAGCCUAAAGAGCAAACAAGUGAUCUUCCAGUAUGGCCUUUUAGAACUCUCUGAGAGCCCUGAGAUGUCAAGUAAGAAGUUUAUCUGAUACUUCUUGUUGGAGAAGCCAAAUGGAGGUACUCUGAUUGGCAGUCACAGCUGAGUCUACUAGACAAGCCUUCCAAUCAUUCCCUGCAUCCAAGGUACCAGACAUGUAAAUGAAGGUAUAUUGGACCCUACAGUUCAUUGAUGGCUAAAUAUUUUUAAGUUUCCUUUGCUGUUGUCACUCAAUUUCAAUUUUUGAUUUACAAAAUUAUGAAAUAUAUGUCUUUUGUUUUAAGCCAGAUAGUUGGGGGGGUUGUUUUGUACAGAGAUAACUGGAACAGCUGGUACAUCCAAAUCUGUUCAUUAGGAAACGUUUACUCCAGAACUAGUUUAAUCAUUAUGGUCAUAGUGAAAAUCAAAUGAAUUCAAUAAGGAAUGGAUCUACUUUGC
rnacentral:lncRNA from 10 species